rnacentral:rRNA from 1 species
CCCUAGUAACGGCGAGUGAAGCGGCAACAGCUCAAAUUUGAAAUCUGGCUCUUUCAGAGUCCGAGUUGUAAUUUGCAGAGGGCGCUUUGGCGUUGGGAGCGGUCCAAGUUCUUUGGAACAGGACGUCACAGAGGGUGAGAAUCCCGUACGUGGUCGCUAUCCUUCGCCGUGUAAAGCCCCUUCGACGAGUCGAGUUGUUUGGGAAUGCAGCUCUAAAUGGGAGGUAAAUUUCUUCUAAAGCUAAAUACUGGCCAGAGACCGAUAGCGCACAAGUAGAGUGAUCGAAAGAUGAAAAGCACUUUGGAAAGAGAGUCAAAUAGCACGUGAAAUUGUUGAAAGGGAAGCGCUUGCAGCCAGACUUGCCUGUAGUUGCUUAUCUGGACUUUUGUCCAGUGCACUCUUCUGCGGGCAGGCCAGCAUCAGUUUGGGCGGUUGGAUAAAGGUCUCUGUCAUGUACCUCCUUUCGGGGAGGCCUUAUAGGGGAGACGACAUGCAACCAGCCUGGACUGAGGUCCGCGCAUCUGCUAGGAUGCUGGCGUAAUGGCUGUAAGCGGCCCGUCUUGAAACACGGACCAAGGAGUCUAACAUCUAUGCGAGUGUUUGGGUGUCAAGCCCAGACGCGUAAUGAAAGUGAACGGAGGUGGGAACCUUUUAGGUGCACCAUCGACCGAUCCUGAUGUCUUCGGAAGGAUUUGAGUAAGAGCAUAGCUGUUGGGACCCGAAAGAUGGUGAACUAUGCUUGAAUAGGGUGAAGCCAGAGGAAACUCUGGUGGAGGCUCGCAGCGGUUCUGACGUGCAAAUCGAUCGUCAAAUUUGGGCAUAGGGGCG